rnacentral:rRNA from 1 species
AGCAGUAGCCAGGUAAUACGAAGGGGGCUAGCGUUGCUCGGAAUUACUGGGCGUAAAGGGAGCGUAGGCGGAUCGUUUAGUUGGGGGUGAAAUCCCGGGGCUCAACCUCGGAACUGCCUUCAAUACUGGCGAUCUUGAGUAUGGGAGAGGUAAGCGGAACUCCGAGUGUAGAGGUGAAAUUCGUAGAUAUUCGGAAGAACACCAGUGGCGAAGGCGACUCGCUGGACAAGUAUUGACGCUGAGGUGCGAAAGCGUGGGGAGCAAACAGGAUUAGAUACCCCCGUAGUCCCUGUCUCUUAUACA